CUUUUUAGCAGGGGCCUUACGGGUGCGCGCUUCGGUCCUGGAGACCUUAUCCUAGCCUCCUCUCCAUCAGCGCCACCCGUCUGCGGCCCGAAAGGAGGGAGCUUUCCCUCUGUCCCCCAGCCUUUGGACUGUCACCAAACAAGCCAUUCGUUCACCAAAUAGUUAUUAAGCGCCUACCAUGUGCCUGACAACGGAGAUGUAACGGUAGAAGUUGCUGGUCCCAUCUUGCCCACAAUCCUCCAAAAUUUGGAAGUUACUUUCCAGGAGACUUAGCUUGCACUGAGAGCUGCCCUCCCAACCCCUCUCCAAAUUUCCUCUUGGGAAUAGCCUAACAAGGUGCUGUCACAGACCCUUGCCAGCCACGAUGACCCCACCCAGAUCAUCCCUCUGCUGUUUCACUCUUUGAUACUCUCUGGAGCUCUCUGGGGAGGGGUGAGACCUGCUGUCUGGUUUGUACGGUUUGCCCAGGUCUUACAGUCAUGGCUGGCUGCCUCUCUCUGAGAACUGGGACUCCUGAACUUGGUGAAAUAUCUCAGCCAUCGAUCAUAUUAAAUUAUCGGGGACACUCAUUUAAAAUGC
rnacentral:lncRNA from 1 species